rnacentral:lncRNA from 1 species
GUUAAAACUGAUGUAAGUUAAAGCUGUAAUGAAUGUUCAUUAUAUUGUAUGCUGUCAUUGGAUCAAUGAGGAAGAACCUGGACAGGAAACUGUAACUAAUCCACUUGUGAAGUAUUCCCUUUUUACUUCCAAUUCUCAGGUGUCCUACAUUAGCCAAGACUGUGAAGAAAUUCCAGAAUUCCUGGGAAGAAAAUACGGACAUAUGGCAAAAAGGCUAGAUCUUAGUUUCAACUUGUUAAGAUGGACUGAAGACCAGUGUGAUGAUGGAUUCGCUUUCUGUGUGGGCACUAGAUGUGAUCUGGUAUUUCCUCAUCACUGCUGUUGUGCAAGAAGAACGAAGGACUGCAGAAAUAACUGUUGUCUGAGGACAAGGAGCUUAACCGAAAGGAAGAAUCUACAUUAA